AUGUGUGAGAAGGGGCUUGCAGGAGGGGAUCAACAGCUACACGAGAGACGAGAUCUAGCCUGGCUGGGCGACGGACAGUCUGCAGUACAGCUGACACAGCUGUAGCUGCCGGAAGACUAAUGAUCUCGCAUUCACGCCACAUAAACCACCCCUAGUGACUUCUUUAGUCUCCACCAGGUCAUGAUGGACACUAUUUGGCACGUACGUAUGGCAGCUGAGAUAUUCUUAGUGCUGGUUCCUGUUUCUGAAUACUGCUGGUGUGGAAGAUCAAAGG